rnacentral:rRNA from 1 species
GACAGAGGGUGCAAACGUUGUUCGGAAUUACUGGGCGUAAAGCGCGUGUAGGCGGGUCUUUAAGUCAGGGGGGAAAUGCCAAGGCUCAACCUUGGAACUGCCCUUGAUACUGGAGACCUUGAGUCCGGGAGAGGUGAGUGGAAUUGCGAGUGUAGAGGUGAAAUUCGUAGAUAUUCGCAAGAACACCAGUGGCGAAGGCGGCUCACUGGCCCGGAACUGACGCUGAGACGCGAAGGCGUGGGGAGCAAACAGG